CAUUAGCUUUCCUCUGUCCUCUGUCCAUUCCUCCGCAUAAGGUUUUCUUCGUCUCCUUGCGUCCUCCCGGCCCGGCCCUCUUCGUCCCCCAUUUGUUUUUGAUCCGAUCGGGUGGGUGGAUCGAUGGGGAAGAACGAGUUCCUGACGCCGAAGGCGAUCGCGAACCGGAUCAAGGCGAAGGGGCUGCAGAAGCUGCGGUGGUAUUGCCAGAUGUGCCAGAAGCAGUGCCGCGACGAGAACGGGUUCAAGUGCCACUGCAUGGGCGAGGGCCACCAGCGCCAGAUGCAGGUCUUCGGCCAGAACCCCGACCGCAUCGUCGGCGGCUUCUCCGAGGAGUUCGAGCGCGCCUUCCUCGACCUCAUGCGCCGCUCCCACCGCUUCUCCCGCGUCGCCGCCACCGUCGUCUACAACGAGUACAUCGCCGACCGCCACCACGUCCACAUGAACUCCACCCAGUGGGCCACCCUCACCGAAUUCGUCAAGCACCUCGGCCGCACCGGCCAGUGCAAGGUCGAGGACACCCCCAAGGGCUGGUUCAUCACCUACGUCGACCGCGACUCCGAGACCCUCUUCAAGGACCGCCUCAAGGCCAAGCGCCACAAGGCCGACCUGGCCGACGAGGAGCGCCAGGAGCGCGCCAUCGCCCACCAGAUCGAGCGCGCCGCCGCUGUCUCCGUCGCUGUUGCCGAGACGCCUCUAGCUUCCGAUCCCAACAAUCCCACCGCAUCUCACACGGAUGGUGCCGGCUCCGGGAUUACUGGCAAUCCCCCCGGCGGAAAGGUCGCAUUUUUACUCCAAUCCCAAUCCGCCUCGGUCUCUUCCAAACCUAGUAAUGAGGCUGCGGCCUCAAAGUCCGCCCCCAAGUUAGCGUUCGGCGACGUACCCGAUUCGGAGAGCAAGAACGCGAAGAAUAGCAGCAGUAUUAGGGUUGGUGCUUUGGGAGGUGGUGCCGGUUUGUCGGCGUUGGACGAAUUGAUGAGGGAGGAGGAGAAGGCGAAAGAGAAGAUCAAUAGAAAGGACUACUGGCUUUGCGAGGGGAUCGUCGUGAAGGUGAUGAGUAAGACCUUAGCGGAAAAAGGUUAUUAUAAGCAGAAAGGGGUGGUGAAAAGGGUCGUUGAUAAGUAUGUUGGUGAGAUUGAGAUGCUGGAGAGCAAGCACGUGCUUAGAGUUGAUCAGGAGGAGCUGGAGACGGUGAUCCCGCAGAUUGGAGGGCUUGUAAGAGUAGUCAAUGGAGCGUAUAGGGGGUCGAAUGCGAGGUUAAUUUCAGUGGAUACGGAGAAGUUUUGCGCGAAGGUGCAAAUUGAGAAGGGGGUUUAUGAUGGGAGGGUUCUUAAAGCUGUAGAGUAUGAGGACAUCUGCAAAAUCUUUCAGUGAGAAACUACUGAUUUGAUGUCCAGAGAAAAGGAUUCUUUUGAGUUCUGUUGCGUCAGGUGUGCUUACAGAUGCUUUUAGUUUAACAGAAGCAACAAUGAAUCAUCAGUAUGAGGUUGAUACAGAUCUACAUGUUAGCAAAAACCAUCUCUUGGCAGCUCGUACCGAUGAAGCUAUAUGCAUUAAUCCAGGAGGCAUAUCAUCAAGUAUGGUGGAUCGAAUAAGUGCUAUUGGAUUUCACUGCAGGCACACCUCCUUUCAUUCAUAGUUCUUAGGAUGCUGAAAGUGCGAUAGAAAUAUCUUCGUUAUUGGAGAAGAGAACAGGCGAGGUAAAAUCCCUAAUAUUUUCCUUGUAAAAGAAGUAAGGGCAAUUUGGUUAUUUUACCCUCUCCAUUAAUGUGUACCUCUCUGAAAAUAUUUCUGAAAUUUUAAAAGGGCAAAAUGUAGGUUUUGAAAGUCGAGGAAAAGUGAAAAAGUGGGUACGCACAAGGGGGUUUUAUGUAAUUUAGGCUAUAUAAAAUUACUAAAACAAAAUUGUAGAGGAUCUUGGUUUGGAUUACUUUAGAUCAUGAGUUACUAGUUUGCUUGAGCUCGGCUUGGUGACCCGGGAUUUCCUAAGCAUAGCCGUUUGUCAAGAGUCUGGUUAGAAAGAAAAAUUCCACCUUUAGAUGGAAGGGUGAGGCUGUUAAUGUUGACUUUAUUUGUUAUGUGGACCAUGAUAGUCGGCGUUGCUGCUGUUGGUAAGUUCCAUAUUUGAUUUUUUCA